rnacentral:rRNA from 1 species
GAUGAACGCUGGCGGCGUGCGUAACACAUGCAAGUUGGACGACGGUGCUAUGAAGUGGUAACACGGAAUGGUAUACGGAGUAGCGGACGGGUGAGUAAAGCAUGAGGAGCUGUCCUGUUGAGGGGGAUAACGUUCGGAAACGGACCCUAAUACCCCAUAGGCCGAGAGGUUAAAGGCAGAGAUGCGCGACGGGAGGUACUCGUGUCCUAUCAGCUAGUUGGUGAGGUAACGGCUCACCAAGGCGACGACGGGUAGCCGGCCUGAGAGGGUGACCGGCCACACUGGAACUGAGAUACGGUCCAGACUCCUACGGGAGGCAGCAGUGGGGAAUAUUGGGCAAUGGGAGGAAUCCUGACCCAGCGACGCCGCGUGAACGAAGACGGCCUUCGGGUUGUAAAGUUCUUUUAUGUGGGAAGAAGGAAGUGACGGUACCACAUGAAUAAGCCCCGGCUAACUACGUGCCAGCAGCCGCGGUAAUACGUAGGGGGCGAGCGUUGUCCGGAAUUACUGGGCGUAAAGGGCACGCAGGCUGUGCUUCAAGUCAGCUGUAAAAGGAUGCGGCUUAACCGUGUUAUGCAGUUGAGACUGAGGUGCUGGAGUACCGGAGAGGCAAGUGGAAUUCCCAGUGUAGCGGUGAAAUGCGUAGAUAUUGGGAAGAACAUCGGUGGCGAAGGCGACUUGCUGGACGGUAACUGACGCUGAGGUGCGAAAGCCAGGGUAGCGAACGGGAUUAGAUACCCCGGUAGUCCUGGCUGUAAACGAUGAAUGCUAUGUGUGCGAGCAGAGAUGUUGGUGUGCCGCAGUUAACGCGAUAAGCAUUCCGCCUGGGGAGUACGGUCGCAAGAUUGAAACUCAAAGGAAUUGACGGGGGCCCGCACAAGCGGUGGAGCAUGUGGUUUAAUUCGAAGCAACGCGAAGAACCUUACCAGGUCUUGACAUCCCGAUGCCCGCUCUAGAGAUGGAGCUUUACUUCGGUACAUCGGUGACAGGUGGUGCAUGGUUGUCGUCAGCUCGUGUCGUGAGAUGUUGGGUUAAGUCCCGCAACGAGCGCAACCCUUAUUGUUAGUUGCCAUCAUUCAGUUGGGCACUCUAGCGAGACUGCCGGUAAUAAACCGGAUGAAGGUGGGGAUGACGUCAAAUCAUCAUGCCCCUUAUGACCUGGGCUACACACGUGCUACAAUGGCUGGUACAACGAGUCGCAAGCCGGUGACGGCAAGCUAAUCUCUGAAAGCCAGUCUCAGUUCGGAUUGUAGGCUGCAACUCGCCUACAUGAAGUCGGAAUCGCUAGUAAUCGCGGAUCAGCACGCCGCGGUGAAUACGUUCCCGGGCCUUGUACACACCGCCCGUCACACCACGAGAGUUUGUAACACCCGAAGUCGGUGAGGUAACCGUAAGGAGCCAGCCGCCUAAGGUGGGAUAGAUGACUGGGGUG